rnacentral:rRNA from 1 species
AUGCUUUGCAUUUUGAACUCCCCAAGUUUUUUCCACUUCUUAGUCUUCUUCUUGGACAUGAGCUGUGUGAGGUCCAUAGUCCAAACCUUCACAUUGGUGUGUCUGGCUCUGUUGUCUGAUGGUUCGAUGGCAACGAACCAGAUGAUGGAGUCCCCGACCAAGCCCAUUGAGAGCAUCAUUGAUGCUACAGUAGAAGAUGCCUUGCUUGAGAUCGACCCAGAAAGCAUAGUCCUUGGACGAGAAGACCAUGUGCGCAUUGAAGCGGUCGGAAACGGAAGGCCGACGGCUCUUCGCCACCCACGGAUCCAUGUCGUUCUGCUGACGCGGCAGUGCCGGAGGCUUCAUAUUGUGAGGCAGAGGCGGCAGUGA